UACGUAGGGGGCGAGCGUUGUCCGGAUUUAUUGGGCGUAAAGAGCGUGUAGGCGGCCAGGUAGGUCCGUUGUGAAAACUCGAGGCUCAACCUCGAGACGUCGAUGGAAACCAUCUGGCUAGAGUCCGGAAGAGGAGAGUGGGAAUUCCUGGUGUAGCGGUGAAAUGCGCAGAUAUCAGGAGGAACACCGGUGGCGAAGGCGGGUCUCUGGGCAACAACUGACGCUGAGGAGCGAAAGCGUGGGGAGCGAACAGG
rnacentral:rRNA from 1 species